rnacentral:rRNA from 1 species
UGCAGUCGAGCGGCAGCACGAGUAGUUUACUAUUUGGUGGCGAGCGGCGGACAGCUGAGUAACGCGUGGGAACGUGCCCCAAAGUGAGGAAUAACUGCCCGAAAGGGUAGCUAAUGCCGCAUAUGAUCUUCGGAUUAAAGUAUUUAUACGCUUUGGGAGCGGCCCGCGUCCGAUUAGAUAGUUGGUGAGGUAAAGGCUCACCAAGUCUACGAUCGGUAACUGAUUUGAGAGGAUGAUCAGUCAGACUGGAACUGAGACACGGUCCAGACUCCUACGGGAGGCAGCAGUGAGGAAUCUUCCACAAUGGACGAAAGUCUGAUGGAGCAACUCCGCGUGCAGGAUGAAGGCCUUCGGGUCGUAAACUGCUUUUAUGAGUGAAGAAUAUGACGGUAACUCAUGAAUAAGGGUCGGCUAACUACGUGCCAGCAGCCGCGGUCAUACGUAGGACCCAAGCGUUAUCCGGAGUGACUGGGCGUAAAGAGUUGCGUAGGUGGUCAGUAAAGCGAAUAGUGAAAUCUGGCGGCUCAACCAUUCAGGCUAUUAUUCGAACUCACUGACUCGAGAAUGGUAGAGGUAACUGGAAUUUCUUGUGUAGGAGUGAAAUCCGUAGAUAUAAGAAGGAACACCAAUGGCGUAGGCAGGUUACUGGACCAUUUCUGACACUGAGGCACGAAAGCGUGGGGAGCGAACCGGAUUAGAU